rnacentral:pre_miRNA from 1 species
AUCACCUGGGGCUCUUUUUAAAAUGCAGAUUCUGAUUCAGGAGGCCCAAGGCCUGAGAAUCUGCAUUUAUGACAAGUUCCAGGUGAUGACAC